AGCAUCUUCUCUCUUACUACAUACAAUCCAAAUUUCCAUAUAUUGUUUCUUCUCUGAAAUCAAAGAGAAUUUCUUCUUUGCAACUGUUUGCUGAAUUGCAAAUCAGGGAAGAAGAUUGAACAACGAAACUUUAGUCUGAGUGAAAAUUAAACCUUAGUGAAGCUGUUUCAUCCCUCAAUUAUGAGAGACAUUAUUAUAAGAUGAUUACAAGAGAAGUGAACAAGCAAGAGGGGAACCCGAAUGACGAUGGAAAUAUGAGCAAGGGGUCUAAUUCAACAACAUCAUGGACAAGGUUAAAGGAUCCAAGAAUUGUUCGUGUAUCGCGAGCAUUUGGUGGUAAAGACAGGCAUAGCAAAGUUUGCACUGUUAGAGGGCUAAGAGAUCGUCGUGUAAGGCUUUCAGUUCCCACUGCUAUUCAAUUAUACGAUCUUCAAGACAGAUUAGGGCUUAAUCAGCCAAGUAAAGUUGUUGAUUGGUUACUUGAUGCAGCUAAGCAUGAAAUCGACGAAUUGCCUCCCUUGCAAAUUCCUCCUGCAAAUUUGAACCCUAAUCUUUAUCCUAUGUUAGGAAUUGGAGGUAAUUCUCAUCAAAAUAAGAGCAUCAAUUGGGAUAAUGUUCCAUUGGAACCACCUAAUAAUAGUAAUAAUAAUGCCUUGGGGUACAAUUCCAAUUUCUUGAAAUGGGAUCCUUCAAAUUUAUCCUUAGCUCAUUCAGAAAAUUCAUUAUCUCAUCAACAUGAUCAUCAAGACAUUCACAAUUUCAAUUUAAUGUCUAGUAUGCCAUUAGGUUCACAUAAUCAAGUUGUUGUUUAUCCACCAGGAUUGCCCCAAUUUUUCCAUCAACAUAAUAUUGUUGGAGCAUCGUCAUCAUCGGAGUUUGAUCCGAAAGAAAUCAACUUUCAAAUGUUGAAUAAUUCAGGUUCAGAAAAUCCCAUGUCAAGUAGUACUAGUUCCCAUAGACAUUAAAUAAUUGCUCUCUUGUCAAACGUGUGCUCUUUAUAACAGCUUAAGUUUUUAGACGAAGAACGUAUUGGUCAUAUAAUUUCAACAUGAUACCCAAGCAGACAUAUUAUUGGUCGAUCGGAUGUUUCAUUUCAUCAUUUCAUAAAAGAUCAGAGCAGGUCAUCAACGGUAUGUGCCUCGAGCAGAGAAUCAGUGAUUUUUAAUUCAAAAUUGAAGUUCGAUUUUGGAUCUUCAUUAAUGAAAAGAAGAAUUGAGUAGAUCAAGCUUCUGCAAUUACAAUGGUGAUAGAGAAUGAUACAGCAACAACAUCAACUGGGCCAGUUCUAGAAGCACUUGAGUUGAUUGAGUCGAAAAUGAAAAAUCCUCUGUAUCUACAUCCAUCGGAUACUCCUGGAUGUAUGUUGACCAUUGUUCAUCUUACUGGAUCAGAAAACUAUUCAUUAUGGAGUAGAUCAUUGAUGAUCAAUCUAAGAGCAAAAGGCAAGCUUGGAUUUGUGCUUGGAAAAUGCCGAAAGAAUCCUUAUGCACCAGAAUUAAAAGAGCAAUGGAAAAAAUGCAAUGCGUUUGAUCUCUUUUAGACUAUGAAUACAGUCUCGAAGGAGUUGCUAAGUGAAAUUGUGUAUGCCUCAGAUGCUGCGACAGUAUGGGCAAAUAUGAAGAAAUGUUUUGAUAAGAUCAAUGGAUGAAGGAUCUAUCAACUUCACAAGGAGAUUUGUACAAGUCACCAAGGUAAUCAAACUGUUUCAGCUUAUUUUACAAGAUUGAGAUUGUUGUGGGAUAUGUUUGAUGCUCUUGUACCUCUUUUAUCAUGCAAUUAUGACAGAUCUAGAGUUUACAUAGAUCACAUGCAAUAUUUGAGGUUGUUUGCUUUUCGGAUGAACUUAAGUGAGAUGUAUGGACAUGCACGCAGCUAAAUCUAAGUGAUGAAUCAACUUCCAAUUGUUAGUAAGGCAUAUGCAAUGAUAGUAUCAGAUGAGAGUCAUAGAAUCAAUUCAGGUAUAUGUGUAGGAGGUGAUGUGAUUAAACCUACAGCAUUAUAUGCAGGAAAGAGCUAUUAUGCAGGCAAUUAUGUAUCUAGAAACACAAGAGGUGAUAGAGAUAAUGAAAGUAGAUGAUACUACAAUAAUAAGAAGAAGGUGAAUUAGAAUUUGUUUUGUGAUCACUGUAAACUAUAUGGACACACUAAAAAUAUUUGCUACAGACUCAUUGGAUACCGUGAAGAUUGGAAGUUUAAGAAGAAAUUUGGUUAGAAUGAUGAAUCUAGAUUCACAAACACUGCACGAGAAGCAAAUCCAAACAAAGGAAAAGGCAUUACUAGCUAUGUUCAAGAGGACAAAAGUGAUGAAGAAAUAAGAAGUGAUGCUUUUGGACCUAUUAGUGAGGAGAAAAAAUCUAUUUUCAACUCAUAUGGUGCACAAGGUUCAAAUUAUUGUGAGUCUGUUAGAACUAACUUGUAGGCACUAGCUUUGAAGUAUACUUAUAUUCCUGAUCAAUAUCAGAAGAUACUAAGGCUGAUCAAUGAAGAAGAGAAAGUUGGAGAUAUGGUUAACAUGGCAGUUAAUGUCACAAAUCUCAGUGCAUUAUUAGUCCCUACAGAAAAGGAGAGCUAUGUUAAUACCAUGAAAGACUAUGAUCAAGAUGAGUCUAGUCAUAAUGGUCAAGAUAACUGGAUAGUGGAUUCAGGAGCAAUAUGCCACAUGACAUCUAACUUUGAUAAAUUGGAUACAGUCAGUGAAUCUAAUAGUAACAUAGUGAGGAAAGUUCAUCUUUCUUAUGGUCAAACUACAGUAGUUAUUCAUUCAAGAAGUUGUAUGAUAUCAGCUGAAGAUGUCUUAGAAAAUGUCCUGUGGUGCCAGAGUUUAAAAAUUACUUGCUAUCAGUAUCACAAUUAACUAGGUAACUAAAGUGUUCUGUUCGAUUCUUUCUUGAGUUUUGUGUUUUUCAGGACCUCUUCAAUAGAGAGGUGAAGGGGAUUUGUAGAGAAAUUGAGGGACUGUACUACUUUCCUAGUCAUUUUUCAUAUUUAGAGCCUACAAGACAGACUAGUAUCAGCUUGAUGACAAAGAUAAGGACUAAUAAUCAAGAUUCACAUUGCAUGUUGUGGCAUAACAAGAUGGGGCACCCUUCUUUCAGAGUUUUACAAUAGUUGUAUUUAAUAAAUAAGGGUAGUACUGUAGCUACAUGUGACAAUUGUGUAGUAUGUCCUUUAGCUAAGCAGACUAGACUCCCAUUUCCUACAAGUGGCUAGGGCUAGUGAUAUCUUUGAUCUGAUUUAUCUUGAUGUAUGAAGACCAUAUAGAUUUUCUACACAUAAUGGUUUCAGAUUUUUUUUGCCAAUUAUUGAUGAUAAUUUAAGGAUAAGUUGGUUGUUUUUACUGAAGUUUAAAAGUGAUGUGUUUGCUACUUUAAAGUCAUUUUUUGCAUUAGUUGGAACUCGAUUUAAUAGGCAAGUCAAAAGGGUGAGAUCAGAUAAUCGUAUUGAGUUUUUCAAUAAGGAAUAUAGUACAAUGUUUGCCUCUUUAGGGAUAGUUCAUGAGAGUAGUUAUGCACACACUCCAUAACAGAAUGGAGUGGUAGAGAAGAAGCAUAGACACAUUCUUGAAGUUGUAAAAGCCAUUAGAUUUCAAGGGUCUAUUCCUAUUAAAUUUUGAGGAGAAUGUAUAUUAGCAGCUGUGUAUUUAAUUAACAUGAUUCCCACAAAUAUUUUACAAGGUAAAUCACCUCAUGAAUUCUUUCAUUAAACCAAGCCAUGCCUUGAUCAAUUGAGAAUCAUUGGUUGUAUGUGUUAUGCAAUAAAGAUGGUUAAAGAUGAUAAAUAUUUCCCAAGAGCUGAUACUUGUGUUAUGAUGGGUUAUUCACUUACUCAAAAUGGGCAUUUACUAUAUAGCUUGAGCUUGAAAAGGUUUGUGGUAGGCAAGGAUGUUGUUUUCAAAGAACACAUAUGUUAUAUUCCAUAUUUUUGCAUCUUGGACUAUUCGUGAGCUAAUAGACAUAAAUUCAAGUACCUUUAAUUUCAAAUUUUAAAAUGGCAUAAAUUAUUUGUAAUGACAAGUUAUAUGGAUAAUAUAUGUGAAGUUAAACACAACUCAAGAAGGACCCUUGAGCCAAUUCAAAGUGGAAGCCAUCAAAAAGAUUUUUUUAAGUCACGUUUUUGGGUGAUCUGACUUCGGGAGGCUAUAACCCCUUCAAAUUUUGAGAAUUUGGGAAAACUCUCAAAAUGAAAGUUGUAGAUAAUUUAAAUAGCUUUCCAACCAUAUAUCGUGGGUUGGAAUAUAAUAUCAGGAUGAAAAGAUAUGAACUUUUUAGGUUUGACAGGCCGAAAUAAAUAGUGAAUUUGGCUCAACCCGAUUCCAACUCGGGUCAGGCCCAAUACCCAUGCCAUUAAAUCAAUUUUUUUAGCUUUUCCUUCAAAUUUUAGACCAACAAAAUGUUCAAAAAUUUCCAGAGAGAGUAAGAGAGGAGAACCCUAAAGAGAAACACCAAAAUUAACCACAAUUUAAGCCCCGAAUCUCGAAGCUCAGCAAGAGAAAAGUGUUGUACGUCGCGUUGUCUUCAGUUUGAGCUAAAAUUCAGCCAAGAAGGAGAAGUGUUAAUGUGUUUGCUGCACACUUGAGGUACAGAUAAUUAUUUUGGGGAUCUGCCAGCUUAGGAUUUUCACUCAGCUGAUUUGGAGUGCUUCAUCAUUCUGGAGCAUAGACUUUUGGUACCAAUUUCUUGAUGUAUUUAUUUGUUUAUUUAGGGAUACGGCGGGGCCCUAUCUCGUCAUAUGCUAUUGUUAAUACUCUUAGAGGUCUGUAGACACAUGUGUGGGUUUUAUAUAGAUGUUGUUCGAUCGUACUAGUAUGACUUAUGUUUUGGAACGUUCUCAUUUGUAGUGGCAGCCUUGUCGGCUUACGCACUAUGCUAUCUUAUUUUUGAUAAUUAUAACUCUCCAGGAGACAAGUGGUUUCGGUA